GACGAACGCUGGCGGCGUGCCUAAUACAUGCAAGUAGAACGCUGAAGAGAGGAGCUUGCUCUUCUUGGGUGAGGUGCGAACGGGUGAGUAACGCGUAGGUAACCUGCCUUGUAGCGGGGGAUAACUAUUGGAAACGAUAGCUAAUACCGCAUAACAAUGGAUGACACAUGUCAUUUAUGUGAAAGGGGCAAUUGCUCCACUACAAGAUGGACCUGCGUUGUAUUAGCUAGUAGGUGAGGUAAUGGCUCACCUAGGCGACGGUACAUAGCCGAUCUGAGAGGGUGAUCGGUCCCCCUGGGACUGGAACCCGGCCCAGACCCCUACGGGAGGCAGCAGUAGGGAAUCUUCGGCCAUGGGGGCAACCCUGACCGAGCAACGCCGCGUGAGUGAAGAAGGUUUUCGGGUCGUAAAGCUCUGUUGUAAGUCAAGAACGGGUGUGAGAGUGGAAAGUUCACACUGUGACGGUAGCUUACCAGAAAGGGACGGCUAACUACGUG
rnacentral:rRNA from 1 species